GCGUAAGCGCGCGCAGGCGGUUUCUUAAGUCUGAUGUGAAAGCCCACGGCUCAACCGUGGAGGGUCAUUGGAAACUGGGGAACUUGAGUGCAGAAGAGAAAAGCGGAAUUCCACGUGUAGCGGUGAAAUGCGUAGAGAUGUGGAGGAACACCAGUGGCGAAGGCGGCUUUUUGGUCUGUAACUGACGCUGAGGCGCGAAAGCGUGGGGAGCAAACAGGAUUAGAUACCCUGGUAGUCCACGCCGUAAACGAUGAGUGCUAAGUGUUAGAGGGUUUCCGCCCUUUAGUGCUGCAGCUAACGCAUUAAGCACUCCGCCUGGGGAGUACGGUCGCAAGACUGAAACUCAAAGGAAUUGACGGGGGCCCGCACAAGCGGUGGAGCAUGUGGUUUAAUUCGAAGCUACGCGAAGAACCUUACCAGGUCUUGACAUCCGCUGACAACUCUAGAGAUAGAGCGUUCCCCUUCGGGGGACAGAGUGACAGGUGGUGCAUGGUUGUCGUCAGCU
rnacentral:rRNA from 2 species